AGCUAACCUAACUGCGCAAUGUUUUAUUUAGAAAUGUACCUUUUAAUGUUUACUAGUUCGUGUUGGCACACACGGUAACGCGUUGUCAAAAAUAUAUGUAUUAUAUAUAAUUUUUACGGUUGUUAAGAUUCUCUCCUAAUGGUGCACAUUUCCUUGUUCCUCUUUCCGUGAAAAGUCCUGCUUAACACAAUUUUCUCAACGAAUCUUUGGCCU